rnacentral:misc_RNA from 1 species
GAUGAAGAACGUAGCGAAAUGCGAUAAGUAGUGUGAAUUGCAGAAUUCAGUGAAUCAUCGAAUCUUUGAACGCACAUUGCGCCCCAUGGUAUUCCGUGGGGCAUGCCUGUUCGAGCGUCAUUACAACCCUCAGGCCCCCGGGCCUGGCGUUGGGGAUCGGCGGAAGCCCCCUGCGGGCACAACGCCGUCCCCCAAAUACAGUGGCGGUCCCGCCGCAGCUUCCAUUGCGUAGUAGCUAACACCUCGCAACUGGAGAGCGGCGCGGCCACGCCGUAAAACACCCAACUUCUGAAUGUUGACCUCGAAUCAGGUAGGAAUACCCGCUGAACUUAAGCAUAUCAAUAAGCGGAGGA